GGCUAAUGUGUCUUGGCUAAUGUGCCUUGGCUAAUGUGUCUUGGCUAAUGUGUCUUGGCUAAGGUGUCUUGGCUAAGGUGUCUUGGCUAAUGUGUCUUGGCUAAUGUGUCUUGGCUAAAGUGUCUUGGCUAAGGUGUCUUGGCUAAGGUGUCUUGGCUAAUGUGUCUUGGCUAAGGUGUCUUGGCUAAGGUGUCUUGGCUAAUGUGUCUUGGCUAAUGUGUCUUGGCUAAGGUGUCUUGGCUAAGGUGUCUUGGCUAAGGUGUCUUGGCUAAUGUGUCUUGGCUAAUGUGUCUUGGCUAAGGUGUCUUGGCUAAGGUGUCUUAGCUAAUGUGUCUUGGCUAAUGUGUCUUGGCUAAUGUGUCUUGGCUAAUGUGUCUUGGCUAAUGUGUCUUGGAUAAUGUGUCUUGGCUAAUGUGUCUUGGCUAAUGUGUCUUGGCUUAUGUGUCUCGGCUAAUGUGUCUUGGCUAAUGUGUCUUGGCUAAGGUGUCUUGGCUAAGGUGUCUUGGCUAAUGUGUCUCGGCUAAGGUGUCUUGGCUAUGGUGUCUUGGCUAAGGUGUCUUGGCUAAUGUGUCUUGGCUGAUGUGCCUUGGCUAAGGUGUCUUGGCUAAUGUGUCUUGGCUAAGGUGUCUUGGCUAAUGUGUCUUGGCUAAUGUGUCUUGGCUACUGUGUCUUGGCUAAGGUGUCUUGGCUAAUGUGUCUUGGCUAAUGUGUCUUGGCUAAUGUGCCUUGGCUAAUGUGUCUUGGCUAAGGUGUCUUGGCUAAUGUGUCUUGGCUAAUGUGUCUUGGCUAAGGUGUCUUGGCUAAUGUGUCUUAUCUAAUCCCAAUGUGCAAUUCAACCACGCCUGCUUAUUAAUACUAUUGCCGCUAUGUUCUGGCCUACAGGCGAAGUGAGAUAAAAAACGUGCACAUACGCAUAUACACGGUACGCUGUCGAUCCCAAUUAGCCCUUUCUCCCUCUACCUAACUGACGAUCAUCCUGCUAAAGCGAGAAUGCGUGUUGAGAUCGCGCGUCGAUACACACUAACACAUUCAAAGACACCAUGUGUAUACA